rnacentral:misc_RNA from 1 species
CGGUUCGAGUCCGCUUACCUCCACUGAUUACCACCUCUUCCAUAAUCUGUAGAAAGGAAAACUUUUGAGUUGUGAUCACAAUUCUGAACGAAUCUAGCUUCCUAAUGAAAUCAUUAAGAUGCUGGACUCAUUGAAUUAAUUUCAUUGUUUUCAGA